GCGGGGAUGGCCCAGCCCGGUACGGCGAUGGAUUGCUAAUCCAUUGGUCUUUGUGACCUCGGGAGUUCGAAUCUCCCUCCCCGCG
rnacentral:tRNA from 1 species